AAUGCUAUUUUGGUCAUUUUAGUUUUUGAGUGCUAUUUUUGCGAUAUAAACUUAGAAAGAUGCUAUUUUGGAGAUUUGCCAAUAAAUUAAAUUAUAAACAUAUAUUAAAGGGCAAAUCUCCAAAAUAGCACAUUUCUAAGUUUAUAUCACAAAAAUGGCACUCAAAAACUAAAAUGACCAAAAUAGCACAUUUCUAAGUUUAUCCUUUGAAAAUUUUAAUUUUUUUAUUUUUCCAAAUUUGAAAUCUUAUCCCCAAAACCUCAUUUCUCAACUCUAAACCCUAAACCCUAAACUCUAAACCUUAAACCCUAAACUUUAAACCCUAAGCCCUAAACCAUAAACCCUAAACCCUAAACUCUAAACCCUAAAAUCUAAACCUUAAACCCUAAACUAUAAACCCUAAACCCUAAAUCCUAAACCCCACCCUUUAACUCUAAAUCCUAAGUUUGUGAUUUUUGAUAAAACAUUAAGUGCUAUUUUUGUGACUUUUGACCUUGAGUGCUAGUUUGGGAACAUAAACUUAAUUUAGUGCUAUUUUUGUCUUUUUCUCUUUAUUAAAGGGCAAAUCUCCAAAAUAGCACAUUUCUAAGUUUAUAUCACAAAAAUAGCACUCAAAACUAAAAUGACCAAAAUAGCACAUUUCUAAGUUUAUCAUUUGAAAAUUUUAAUUUUUAUAUUUUCCAAAAUUUGAAAUCUUAUCCCCAAAACAUCAUUUCUAAACUCUAAACCCUAAACCCUAAACUCUAAACCCUAAACUCUAAGCCCUAAACCUUAAACCAUAAACCCUAAACCCUAAACCCUAAACCCUAAACCCUAAAUCUAAACCCUAAAAUCUAAACCUUAAACCCUAAACUCUAAACCCUAAACCCUAAACCCUAAAUCUAAACCCUAAAAUCUAAACCUUAAACCCUAAACUCUAAACCCUAAACCCUAAACCCUAAAUCCUAAACCCCACCCUUUAAAUCUAAACCCUAAGUUUGUGACUUUUG
rnacentral:lncRNA from 1 species